GCGGGCGUAUGGUGACCUUGACGCCGUCGUCGGUGCGCUCCUGGCGCACCAGGAUUUCGGGCGAGGCGCCGAUGACGUGCAAGUCGCUGCCGCGCGCG
rnacentral:tRNA from 1 species